rnacentral:rRNA from 1 species
UACGGGGGGGGCAAGCGUUGUUCGGAAUUACUGGGCGUAAAGGGCUCGUAGGUGGCCAACUAAGUCAGACGUGAAAUCCCUCGGCUUAACCGGGGAACUGCGUCUGAUACUGGAUGGCUUGAGUUUGGGAGAGGGACGCGGAAUUCCAGGUGUAGCGGUGAAAUGCGUAGAUAUCUGGAGGAACACCUGUGGCGAAGGCGGCUCGCUGGGCCGGUCCUGACGCUGAAACGCGAAGGCGUGGGGAGCGAACGGG